rnacentral:misc_RNA from 1 species
GAUGAAGAACGUAGCGAAAUGCGAUAAGUAAUGUGAAUUGCAGAAUUCAGUGAAUCAUCGAAUCUUUGAACGCACAUUGCGCCCCCUGGUAUUCCGGGGGGCAUGCCUGUUCGAGCGUCAUUACAACCCUCAAGCUCUGCUUGGUGUUGGGCCCCGCCGCCCCGGCGGGCCCUAAAAUCAGUGGCGGUGCCGUCCGGCUCCGAGCGUAGUAAUUCUUCUCGCUCUGGAGGUCCGGGUGUGUGCUCGCCAGCAACCCCCAAUUUUUUCCAGGUUGACCUCGGAUCAGGUAGGGAUACCCGCUGAACUUAAGCAUAUCAAUAAGCGGAGGA